GUAUGAGAUGAUGGCAUACCAUCUUUCGGGACUGACUUCCUAUGGAGAUACUUUUUAACUUUACUGAUCAUAC